CAAGAAUUUUGGUUAUUAGCAGCGGAAGAAUUAGCAGCGGAGCAAAUCCGCCGCUACUAAUAGGACUAAUACCGGCGGACUUCUGUUAUUAAAUGUUAUUUAUUUUUUUUUUGUAUAAAAAUGUAUUAGCGGCGGACCCAUGUACUAUUAGCGGCGGGGUUCCGCCGCUAAUACUAAAAUAAAAAAAGUGUGGGAAAUUUCCCACUCAAAUAUUUUCAAAAUUUUUUAGCAGCGGACUUUUUUUGUUAUUAGCGGCGGAAACCCGCCCCUAAUAAUAAGAAAUCUGACAAUUUUAUUAUUAGCGGCGGAAUCCUAUUAUUACCAGCGGAAUAGUCCGCCGCUAAUAAUAUCGUAUAAAAAAAUGCUAUCAGAUUCAUUUUCCUUCAUUUUCCUUUCCUUCUAAUUUCUUUCUCUUCUCUCUCAAAAAUUUCUUCUCUACACCCACCUUCCUCAGCCCUUCCCCGCCUCCCUCCGCCCACCCUAAACCCCUCUGCCGGAGCAACACCACCACCCUUAACGAUCUACCAGUGCAAGUUUUUUUAACAGUCUCUACUAUCUCAACCACUAUUGGCCGAAACCAAAAGUGCACAACCGAUGCAUAUUUUUUAGUAGGAGUAACAUUUUUAUCUACUCCAAUACACCCAGAGUUUUGAGAUUAGUUUGGGGACCUCGAUCUUCUCUGUCGACCACAACAAUCACAAUUAACCUUAUAUUUUUUUUGGAGUGAUUAUAAACGAGACUAGUGAUUAACUUUUGUAUUUUUGUUAUAUUAAGACAUUGUAAUUAUUUACUUAGAGAAUAUUGUAUUAACUAAUUUGUGUAAUGGCUAUUAUCAUUCAAUAUUAAACUUAAUUUUAAUUUACGUUUA